ACUCCUACGGGAGGCAGCAGUGGGGAAUAUUGCACAAUGGGCGCAAGCCUGAUGCAGCAACGCCGUGUGAGUGAAGAAGGUUUUCGGAUCGUAAAACUCUGUCCUAAGGGAAGAAAAAAUGACGGUACCUUAGGAGGAAGCCCCGGCUAACUACGUGCCAGCAGCCGCGGUAAUACGUAGGGGGCAAGCGUUAUCCGGAAUCACUGGGCGUAAAGGGUGCGUAGGCGGCUUAGCAAGCCAGGGGUGAAAGGCAUUGGCUCAACCAAUGUAAGCCUUUGGAACUGUUAAGCUUGAGUGCAGGAGAGGUAAGUGGAAUUCCUAGUGUAGAGGUGAAAUUCGUAGAUAUUAGGAGGAACACCAGUGGCGAAGGCGACUUACUGGACUGUAACUGACGCUGAUGCACGAAAGCGUGGGUAGCGAACAGGAUUAGAUACCCUGGUAGGUCAGUC
rnacentral:rRNA from 1 species